rnacentral:rRNA from 1 species
CUCAAAAACCGGUACCCACGUUCGGAUUGUAGGCUGCAACUCGCCUACAUGAAGUCGGAGUUGCUAGUAAUCGCGGAUCAGAAUGCCGCGGUGAAUGCGUUCCCGGGUCUUGUACACACCGCCCGUCACGCCAUGAGAGUUGGGAAUACCCGAAGCCUGUGAGCUAACUUAUAGAGGCAGCAGUCGAAGGUAGAAUCAAUGAUUGGGGUGAAGUCGUAACAAGGUACC